GAGAACUAAUAACUCAAUGGGUGGAAUGAAGGAGUAACGCCCUGAAACGCUCGCCUAAUACUCCGACUGGCGGUAUCAACUGCAAUUACGAUGCGGUCAGAGGCUCGGUGAAGUCGGCAGAGAGUGAUCGUAUUGGCUUGCCAAUACGAAAGCUGUCCAGAGGUGGAUGGUAUCACCUAUAUGCCGGGGUUCUAUAAA
rnacentral:ncRNA from 1 species